rnacentral:rRNA from 1 species
GUCGAGCGAACAGACGAGGAGCUUGCUCCUCUGACGUUAGCGGCGGACGGGUGAGUAACACGUGGAUAACCUACCUAUAAGACUGGGAUAACUUCGGGAAACCGGAGCUAAUACCGGAUAAUAUAUUGAACCGCAUGGUUCAAUAGUGAAAGACGGUUUUGCUGUCACUUAUAGAUGGAUCCGCGCCGCAUUAGCUAGUUGGUAAGGUAACGGCUUACCAAGGCAACGAUGCGUAGCCGACCUGAGAGGGUGAUCGGCCACACUGGAACUGAGACACGGUCCAGACUCCUACGGGAGGCAGCAGUAGGGUAUCUUCCGCAAUGGGCGAAAGCCUGACGGAGCAACGCCGCGUGAGUGAUGAAGGUCUUCGGAUCGUAAAACUCUGUUAUUAGGGAAGAACAAAUGUGUAAGUAACUAUGCACGUCUUGACGGUACCUAAUCAGAAAGCCACGGCUAACUACGUGCCAGCAGCCGCGGUAAUACGUAGGUGGCAAGCGUUAUCCGGAAUUAUUGGGGGUAAAGCGCGCGUAGGCGGUUUUUUAAGUCUGAUGUGAAAGCCCACGGCUCAACCGUGGAGGGUCAUUGGAAACUGGAAAACUUGAGUGCAGAAGAGGAAAGUGGAAUUCCAUGUGUAGCGGUGAAAUGCGCAGAGAUAUGGAGGAACACCAGUGGCGAAGGCGACUUUCUGGUCUGUAACUGACGCUGAUGUGCGAAAGCGUGGGGAUCAAACAGGAUUA